ensembl:snoRNA
AGUGUUUUAAGAAAUUUAUGUUACCAGGCAAAUAAGUGAAUUGCAUAUCAGGUCUAUAAUCUCGGAAGAGACAGAGUUAUGUGCAUCCACUGUAAGGGCAGUCCAACAAACAGGUUUUCUACUUUGACCUACCUCUCUCCAGUAGGGGUGACUCUUCAUUGCCAGGCAGAAAUUGUAAACUGAAUCUGAAGUAUAAACAGGCCAUAUUCAAGAUACCAGGGUCACAAGUCUCAAAGGACUUAGCUGUAUCAUGGCCACUGAGAGAUGAAAUGCAUAUUUUUACUUAUUAUUUAUUU